rnacentral:rRNA from 1 species
GACGAACGCUGGCGGCGUGCUUAACACAUGCAAGUCGAACGGUGAAGCGCCUUCCUUUUUGGUGGGUGUGGAUGAGUGGCGAACGGGUGAGUAACACGUGAGUAACCUGCCCCCUUCUUCUGGAUAACCGCAUGAAAGUGUGGCUAAUACGGGAUAUUCUGGGUCUGUCGCAUGAUGGGUCUGGGAAAGAUUUUGUUUCGGUGGGGGAUGGGCUCGCGGCCUAUCAGCUUGUUGGUGGGGUGAUGGCCUACCAAGGCGGUGACGGGUAGCCGGCCUGAGAGGGUGGACGGUCACACUGGGACUGAGACACGGCCCAGACUCCUACGGGAGGCAGCAGUGGGGAAUAUUGCACAAUGGGCGCAAGCCUGAUGCAGCGACGCCGCGUGAGGGAUGGAGGCCUUCGGGUUGUGAACCUCUUUCGCCAGUGAAGCAGGCCUGCCUCGUUUGUGGGUGGGUUGACGGUAGCUGGAUAAGAAGCGCCGGCUAACUACGUG